rnacentral:rRNA from 1 species
GCGUCUGAUUAGCUUGUUGGCGGGGUAACGGCCCACCAAGGCGACGAUCAGUAGGGGUUCUGAGAGGAAGGUCCCCCACAUUGGAACUGAGACACGGUCCAAACUCCUACGGGAGGCAGCAGUGAGGAAUAUUGGUCAAUGGGCGAGAGCCUGAACCAGCCAAGUAGCGUGCAGGAUGACGGCCCUAUGGGUUGUAAGCUGCUUUUAUAAGGGAAUAAAGUGAGUCUCGUGAGACUUUUUGCAUGUACCUUAUGAAUAAGGACCGGCUAAUUCCGUGCCAGCAGCCGCGGUAAUACGGAAGGUCCGGGCGUUAUCCGGAUUUAUUGGGUUUAAAGGGAGCGUAGGCCGGAGAUUAAGCGUGUUGUGAAAUGUAGACGCUCAACGUCUGCACUGCAGCGCGAACUGGUUUCCUUGAGUACGCACAAA